rnacentral:misc_RNA from 1 species
GAUGAAGAACGUAGCGAAAUGCGAUAAGUAGUGUGAAUUGCAGAAUUCAGUGAAUCAUCGAAUCUUUGAACGCACAUUGCGCCCUUUGGUAUUCCAAAGGGCAUGCCUGUUCGAGCGUCAUUUGUACCCUCAAGCUUUGCUUGGUGUUGGGCGUCUUGUCUCCAGUUCGCUGGAGACUCGCCUUAAAGUAAUUGGCAGCCGGCCUACUGGUUUCGGAGCGCAGCACAAGUCGCGCUCUCUUCCAGCCAAGGUCAGCAUCCACAAAGCCUUUUUUCAACUUUUGACCUCGGGUCAGGUAGGGAUACCCGCUGAACUUAAGCAUAUCAAUAAGCGGAGGA